UGAAAUGCGAUAAGUAAUGUGAAUUGCAUUAUUCUGUGAAUCAUCAAAUCUUUGAACGCACCUUGCACUCUUUGGGUUUACCAAAGAGUAUAUCUGUUUGAGCAUCAUAAAUAUCUAUAACUCUAGUUAAGAGUUGAUAUGAGAAUUACAUAUAUUAUAUAUAUGAUUCUUAAAAUGUAGGGAGAAAACAAAGUGUGGAAAAAAUAUGUGUUUAAAAACACUGCAAUAUGCUGCUGUUAUUAUUUAUAUAUAUAUCACUAGUUUUCUUAUUCUAUAUAAAAAAAAACAUUUGUUUUUUUGAAUCUAUGAUCUCAAAUCAGAUAAGACUACCCGCUGAACUUAA
rnacentral:misc_RNA from 1 species